UGCGUAGGAUGCAAGCGUUGUCCGGAAUUAUUGGGCGUAAAGCGAACGUAGGCGGCCUUUUAAGUUUGGUCUUAAAGACCGGGGCUCAACCCCGGGAAUGGACUGAAUACUGGGAGGCUGGAGGACGUCAGAGGAAGGUGGAAUUCCCAGUGUAGCGGUGAAAUGCGUAGAUAUUGGGAGGAACACCAGUGGCGAAAGCGACCUUCUGGGACGUUACUGACGCUGAGGUUCGAAAGCUCGGGGAGCAAACAGG
rnacentral:rRNA from 1 species